UACGUAGGGCGCAAGCGUUGUCCGGAAUUAUUGGGCGUAAAGAGCUCGUAGGCGGUUUGUCGCGUCUGCUGUGAAAGUCCGAGGCUCAACCUCGGAUCUGCAGUGGGUACGGGCAGACUAGAGUGUGGUAGGGGAGACUGAAUUCCUGGUGUAGCGGUGGAAUGCGCAGAUAUCAGGAGGAACACCGAUGGCGAAGGCAGGUCACUGGGCCGCAACUGACGCUGAGGAGCGAAAGCAUGGGGAGCGAACAGG
rnacentral:rRNA from 1 species